rnacentral:tRNA from 2 species
GGAGAGGUGCUAGAGUGGACGAAUAGGCGCGCCUGGAAAGCGCGUGUCCUCGCAAGAGGACCAUGGGUUCGAAUCCCAUCCUCUCCGCCA